rnacentral:rRNA from 1 species
AUUGAACGCUGGCGGCAGGCCUAACACAUGCAAGUCGAACGAGUGGCGGACGGGUGCGUCAUGUCUGGGAAACUGCCUGAUGGAGGGGGAUAACUACUGGAAACGGUAGCUAAUACCGCAUACCCUCGGAUGUGCCCAGAUGGGAUUAGCUAGUAGGUGGGGUAAAGGCUCACCUAGGCGACGAUCCCUAGCUGGUCUGAGAGGAUGACCAGCCACACUGGAACGGAGACACGGUCCAGACGCCUGCGGGAGGAAGCAGUGGGGAAUAUUGCACAAUGGGCGCAAGCCUGAUGCAGCCAUGCCGCGUGUAUGAAGAAGGCCUUCGGGUUGUAAAGUACUUUCAGCGGGGAGGCGUUACCCGCAGAAGAAGCACAGGCUAACACCGGGCCAGCAGCCGCGGUAAUAC